rnacentral:rRNA from 1 species
GAACGACUCUCGGCAACGGAUAUCUCGGCUCUGGCAUCGAUGAAGAACGUAGCGAAAUGCGAUACUUGGUGUGAAUUGCAGAAUCCCGUGAACCAUCGAGUCUUUGAACGCAAGUUGCGCCCGACGCCUUCUGGCCGAGGGCAUGUCU